GACGAACGCUGGCGGCGUGCUUAACACAUGCAAGUCGAACGGAAAGGCCUGCUUUCCCUUGUGGAUUGCGGGUACUCGAGUGGCGAACGGGUGAGUAACACGUGAGUGAUCUGCCCCCAACUUGGGUAUAAGCCUGGGAAACUGGGUCUAAUUCCCGAUAGGACUGCAGGGUGGUGCCUGUGGUGGAAAACGAUUUUCUAGUGGUUGGGGAUGAGCUCGCGGCCUAUCAGCUUGUUGGUGGGGUAAUGGCCUACCAAGGCGGCGACGGGUAGCCGGCCUGAGAGGGUGGACGGCGACAUUGGGACUGGGAUACGGCCCAGACUGCUACGGGAGGCAGCAGUGGGGAAGAUUGCACAAUGGGCGGAAGCCUGAUGCAGCGACGCCGCGUGGGGGAUGACGGCCUUCGGGUUGUAAACUCCUUUCGACCGCGAGGAAGCCACCUGGUUGGAAGGGUGGUGACGGUAGUGGUAGAAGAAGCACCGGCUAACUACGUG
rnacentral:rRNA from 1 species